AAAAAGCAAGGAGCCGAUCCAUGUUGCUGGCUUUGGGUUCUUCGUGAACAAAUGAGACAAGAAAAUCUGCAGAAUGCAGGGCAUUUACCCACUGAUGGGAAGGUUCCAGAACAAAGAAGAGAUGGAAGAAACAGGUUAGCGAGAAGGUGUGAUUUUUGCUGCACUAUUUGUACCAACCAUUUGGGUCAGGCCAACCUGCCAAGGAACUACUGGCCAAAGGGGCUGAUCGGCAGGAAGGACCAUGCAGGCAAGGUCACUUCACUCAAGAUGCUGUGAAUCCCAGAUGGAGGUAUGCGAGCUUUGAGUUUGGCUGCCUAGUGCACUGUGAGAUGCCCACCUCGAGGAGAUGACCUGGCAUCUUUCUUCAAUGGAGCUGCCAUAUUAGAAGGCUCUGGGACUCCUCUCUGCUUCCAAUGCUGACAGUUGAGUGACAGCAGAGAGGCAAGCCACAGGAAGACAGUGGCGCAGCUUGUUCCCCUACACCAGCGGUGUCUGGAGUUGGGGUCGAGGGUCAGAGAGUCUUCUAGUUGCGGUUCGAUGUAUGGGGUUUCCAUGCAAGAUUCUGUUUGAAGAAGGUUUCCAUAGUGAAAACAAUUUUAGAGUUUUAAAACCACAAACUUACAUAACCUCUAAGAUUUUCUUCCGUGUGUGACACGAUAUCACUUUACAAUCGUAUAGAACUCCAGUGCGCCAGCAGCCUCGGGCAGGGUAGCUUCUCUGAAAAGCACUCUAAUGCUAUUUAUGGCUUGCAGCAGCCAUUUUACCCUCUAAACUCCUAAAGAGUAUUCUUACUGAAUUACCUUUCUGUUCCCCCAAAGCUGCGUGUUUGAUGCUGGGGAGACCAUGACCCUGGGGCUAGCUAAGGAGUAAAAUAGCCUGUCCAUCUGCUUGCCCUCCCAGGCCUUGGCUAGGCUUCCAGAAAAGGCCCAGGGUUAUUUCUCAGAGUGACUGCUUACCAAAAACUCUGCCAGCAGCUGGAAAUUCUCUAUAGUGUAGUGUAGUGUGUAUUAUAGAAUACUAUAGUAUACUAUAGUAUACUAUAGAAUAGUAUAGUAUACUAUAGAAUACUAUAGAAUAGUAUAGUAUAGAAUAGCUUA